GGGAAGUUGAGCUAUUAUACCGUGAGACUGUGAACGGGUCUUUUUCUGUUAUCGUUUUUUUGAGGGCCUUACUAUAUGGAUAACCGUGGUAAUUCUAGAGCUUUUAUGCUAAAAACCCCGACGUUUGGAGGGGUGUAUUUAUUAGAUUCAAAGCCAAUGCCCUCCGGGGCUUCUUGGUGAAUCAUAAUAACUUUUCGGAUCGCAUGGCCUUGUGCCGGCGAUGGUUCAUUCAAAUUUCUGCCCUAUCAACUUUCGAUGGUUGGGGCUUGGACAGCCAUGGAGACUACGGGUAACGGAGGACUAAGAAUCGACCCCGGAUAACGAGCCUGAAAAACGGCUACUACAUCCAACGAACGCAGAAGGCGCGCAGAUUACCCAAUCCCGACUCGUGAAGGUAGUGACAAUACAUACUGAUACAGGGCUCUUUUGGGUCUUGUGAUUGGAAUGAGUACUAAUUACAUCCCUUAACGAGGAACAAUUACAGGUCAAGUCUGGAGCCAGCAGCCGCGGUAAUUCCAGCUGCAAUAUCGUAUAUUAAAGAUGUUGAGGGUAAAAAGCUCGUAGCUGAACCUUGGACCUGGCUGGCUGGUCCGCCUCACCGCGCGCACUGAUAUCGCCGGGCCUUUCCCUCUGUGGAGCCGAAUGCCCUUCACUGUGUGUGCUGGGGAACCAGGACGUUUACUCUGAAUAAAUCAAAUCGCUUAAAGAACGCCUAUGCUUGAAUGUUCUAACAUGUAAUAAUGGAAUAGGACGCACAAUUCUAUUUUGUUGGUUUCUAGGACCGCCGAACUGAUUAAUAGGGACAGGCGAGGGCAUCAGUAUUCAUUUGUCAUAGGUGAAAUUCUAGGAUUUAUAAAGACUAACUACUGCGACUGCAUUUGCCAUGGACGUUGUCGUUAUCAUGAACCAAAACUAAGGGAUCGAAGACGAUCAAAACCGACGCAGUCUUACCUAAACUAUGCCGAUUAGGAACCGGAACGGGU
rnacentral:rRNA from 1 species